rnacentral:rRNA from 1 species
AUUGAACGCUGGCGGCAGGCCUAACACAUGCAAGUCGAGCGGACGAAGGGAGCUUGCUCCUGGAUUCAGCGGCGGACGGGUGAGUAAUGCCUAGGAAUCUGCCUGGUAGUGGGGGAUAACGUCCGGAAACGGGCGCUAAUACCGCAUACGUCCUGAGGGAGAAAGUGGGGGAUCUUCGGACCUCACGCUAUCAGAUGAGCCUAGGUCGGAUUAGCUAGUUGGUGGGGUAAAGGCCUACCAAGGCGACGAUCCGUAACUGGUCUGAGAGGAUGAUCAGUCACACUGGAACUGAGACACGGUCCAGACUCCUACGGGAGGCAGCAGUGGGGAAUAUUGGACAAUGGGCGAAAGCUUGAUCCAGCCAUGCCGCGUGUGUGAAGAAGGUCUUCGGAUUGUAAAGCACUUUAAGUUGGGAGGAAGGGCAGUAAGUUAAUACCUUGCUGUUUUGACGUUACCAACAGAAUAAGCACCGGCUAACUUCGUG